UACCCCUAUCCUUUCUCUUUUCUUGAAGGGAAUGGCUGAAAAACAUCAGACGUUGAGAAGGUAAAGAGUGGUUAACCAGAGAAAGAGAAGACCAAGAGUAGAUACAAGGGAGGAUAUGAAGGGAAAAGAAAGGCUGAAAAAGCAAAUAAGUGAAGAAGGCAAAGAACAGAACAAAGAUUAAAAGAGGAAGGAGACGAAAUUUAAGUAGGGAAAUAUCAGGAUUGUUGAGUCUGAUUUUCCCUUUUGGUUGGAGACCUUUUUGGAUGACUCAGAGAUGUGGACUGGGAGCUUUCUUAUCCUCUGUGAUCUACAGGGCUCAAAAGAGGUCUCACAGCUCUGGAUACCAAGGGAAGUGAGGUGCGUUCCUGGCUGCAGAUGAAUCACAAAGCCUUACCCUUUUCCUCAAUAUUUCACUCCUGGCUAGUAAGGGAGUUCCUUGCUCAGCUGGUUUCUGAUGUUGCCUUUUUCAGCUGCUGAACUCUUCCUAGGCAUCCACUGGGGAGUCUGGGUAUCUAACUGUGGCUGAGGGCUGCAGGAGGUGGUAAGGUAUUUUGGAGCUGGGCAUUACAGGGCUCAACACUGAAGGGUGUCUUUUGGAGCUGGACGUUGCAGGAUGUCUGGGGUUGGUGGGGGAGGUGCUUUAAUUAGAGCAGCUCUCGGGAGCUGCUCUAAU
rnacentral:lncRNA from 1 species